UGAGGUGGGAGAAUCGCUUGAACUUGGGAGGCGGAGGUUGCAGUGAGCCGAGAUCGCAAGAAACAAGAAUCAGUUGUGUGAAUUUCUCUUUGAAAAAAAAUUGUGAUUCAAUACCAAUGAGAUCCAAACACUGUUGUCAAAGAAUUAUCCAUUCUAUCUCUCUACCAUGUACAAUAGGAGAAAUUUCUUUCAAAGUUUAGUACCAAGAAAAACUUAAUUUUCCUUAAAAAAACUCAGAAUGUUUCUCUGCUCAAGAGAGAUGUGUAUCAUGUUUCCUUUUUCAUCUUGACCAUCAAAUCCCUUCAGACCUGCCAUCAGGCUCCCUUGGAAUAAACAUUUGAUUUCUAAUAUUUUCUCCACUCUUUUCCUAUUUUGAUUCCUAUACAAUUGGCUUUUACUAUCUGGGCUUUUAUAUAUUGGUAAGCCACAACAACUUUUUUUUUUUUUUUAGAAUGACUUGGGAUAUAAAUAAACUAAAUAUAUCCUAUUUGAAUAACAAGUGGAAGACAGCUUGAUGAAUUGGACAAGGAAGCCCUUGGAACAGGAUGUAAAAGCAGCACUUUCCAUCCAGCCUGACAUCCUGCUUCCAGAUGCAGAAGGCUGAGCAGGCCACCAGGAUCACAUCCACCUGGAAUAUUUUACAAACCAGAGCCUGAGUUAAAAGUACAGAACAUCUUACCAGGAUCCAUCUGAGCUGGCGAACUUCAAGAUGGCAGUCAGCCUGAAAGAGGCUGGAAAAAUAAUAAAGUACUGAACUCUAUGGUGCCUGGAGGUUAAGUCCAGUUAGCUACUUGUCUCAGGUUUGAAAUUCAUACAGUUGAGCAUUCUGGGCACUACGGCAAUUUUGGUACAUCAAAAAGAGCACGGAGGGCCAGGCAUAGUGGCUCAUGCCUGUAAUCUCAGCACUUUGGGAGGCCAAGGUGGGGGGGAUCGCUUGUGGCCAGGAGUUCAAGACCAGCCUGAACAACAUAGUGAGAGCCUGUCUCUUAAAAAACAACAACAGAGAAAGUCAAGAACAUUGGGGCAGAGUACAGUCAUUCAUGUCUAUAAUCCCAGCACUGCGGGAGGCCAAGGCAAGAGGAUCACUUGAGCCUAGGAGUUCAAAAC